GGGCUGUUGGUCUAGUGGUAUGAUUCUCGCUUAGGGUACACCCUAGCUACUGAAGCUUCACAGCUUGCGAGAGGUCCCGGGUUCAAUCCCCGGAUAGCCCC